CGGCGAGUGGCGGAACAGUAGACGCCCGAGUCUCAGAAACUCGCGGGCCCACGUGCCCAUGCAGGUGCGAAUCCUGUCUCGCCGACCA
rnacentral:tRNA from 1 species